UUUGGUGAAAUAGGAAGCUCCAUGGCAUGUC
rnacentral:piRNA from 1 species